rnacentral:rRNA from 1 species
ACGCUCGACACCUACGGGAGACAGCAGUGGGGAAUAUUGCACAAUGGGGGAAACCCUGAUGCAGCGAUGCCGCGUGAAGGAAGAAGUAUCUCGGUAUGUAAACUUCUAUCAGCAGGGAAGAAAAUGACGGUACCUGACUAAGAAGCCCCGGCUAACUACGUGCCAGCAGCCGCGGUAAUCUGAGCGGCUGGCAAGGC